rnacentral:lncRNA from 1 species
CAAAUGCUAUAUAUAAUCAGAGAAAUGGAAACAGAGGACAACAAUACCGUCAAGUUGCUGCUGUGACUAUUCUAGCAACCCAACCUCAACAACAACAAAGAGGACAACCACAACAACAACAACAGCAACGCCAAUUCCAACCAAGACAAAGAAUGCCAGAUCUUCAUUUUGAUCCGUUGCCAAUGACUUAUGCUGAAUUACUCCCUGAACUGCUCAGGUUAAAGUUUGUUGAACUUCG